CUAGGGUUUUACCCGUGCUUCGCACGGGUGGAUUAAAUUUAAAAUUAAAUUUUUAUAAUAUCAAUGAUAAGAAUUUUGGGAGAUUAAAACUUAGACUAAAAUUAUGAUGUAUCAUUGAAAAUAUUUUUGUAUAAUUAUUUUAUGAUAAAUAUUUUGACUAUUAGAGAUGACAAUGGGUAAGGUAUAUAUGGUAAGAGUACUAUGAUACAUAUUCUCAUACCCGCACGUUGAAAAAAUACAUGUCUCCAUUCUCAUACCCGUUUGGGUAACAACCUUUGUACCCGUGUCCAAGGACGGACAUAAGGGGGGGCAAGUAGGGGCUGAGACCCCCCCCUCUUGUCGUAUUUUUUUUUUGAUACACUUGUUCUAGAUACAUAUAUACACAUAAAUUGAUAUUUGAGAGAUGUGUUUAAAGAUUAGUAN
rnacentral:lncRNA from 1 species